rnacentral:rRNA from 1 species
AUUGAACGCUGGCGGCAGGCCUAACACAUGCAAGUCGAGCGGAUGACGGGAGCUUGCUCCUUGAUUCAGCGGCGGACGGGUGAGUAAUGCCUAGGAAUCUGCCUGGUAGUGGGGGACAACGUUUCGAAAGGAACGCUAAUACCGCAUACGUCCUACGGGAGAAAGCAGGGGACCUUCGGGCCUUGCGCUAUCAGAUGAGCCUAGGUCGGAUUAGCUAGUUGGGGAGGUAAUGGCUCACCAAGGCGACGAUCCGUAACUGGUCUGAGAGGAUGAUCAGGCACACUGGAACUGAGACACGGUCCCGACUCCUACGGGAGGCAGCAGUGGGGAAUAUUGGACAAUGGGCGAAAGCCUGAUCCAGCCAUGCCGCGUGUGUGAAGAAGGUCUUCGGAUUGUAAAGCACUUUAAGUUGGGAGGAAGGGCAGUAAGUUAAUACCUUGCUGUUUUGACGUUACCGACAGAAUAAGCACCGGCUAACUCUGUGCCAGCAGCCGCCGUAACAC